AUGCUAGUCGAACGCACAGAACUAUGUCUGUGAGUGGCAUACUGCUCAGUAACACGUAGUUAACCUACCCUUCGGACGUGGACAACCCCGAGAAAUUGGGGCUAAUCCGCGAUAGAUGUGAUGUCCUGGAAUGGUAUUACGUCUAAAGGUAUUUCAUACAUGUUUGAUAUACGCCUAAGGAUGGGACUGCGGCUGAUCAGGCAGUUGGUGAGGUAAUGGCUCACCAAACCAUUGACCAGUACGGGCCAUGAGAGUGGUAGCCCGGAGAUGGACACUGAGACAAGGGUCCAGGCCCUACGGGGCGCAGCAGGCGCGAAACCUCCUCAAUGCACUAACGUGCGAAGGGGUUACCUCGAGUGCUAUCUGAUGAAGGUGGCUUUUCCAUGGUCUAAAAAGCCUAGGGAAUAAGAGGGGGGCAAGACUGGUGUCAGCCGCCGCGGUAACACCAGCCCCUCGAGUGGUGGGGAUGAUUAUUUGGCCUAAAGCGUCCGUAGCCUGCCGGAUAAGUUCCCCGUUAAAUCCAACGUCUCAAGCGUUGGACUGCGGGAAAUACUGUCUGGCUAGAGAGUGGGAGAGGUCAGCGGUAUUCUGGGGGUAGGGGCGAAAUCCUUUGAUCCCCGGAGGACCACCAGUGGCGAAGGCUGCUGACUAGAACACGUCUGACGGUCAGGGACGAAAGCUGGGGUAGCGAACCGGAUUAGAUACCCGGGUAGUCCCAGCCGUAAACGAUGCAUGCUAGGUGUUGGGUUGGCCACGAGCCACCCCAGUGCCGCAGGGAAGCCGUUAAGCAUGCCGCCUGGGAAGUACGGUCGCAAGAUUGAAACUUAAAGGAAUUGGCGGGGGAGCACCACCAGGCGUGAAGCCUGCGGUUUAAUUGGAGUCAACGCCGGG
rnacentral:rRNA from 1 species